GGGUUGUGAGGUUAAGCGACUAAGCGUACACGGUGGAUGCCCUGGCAGUCAGAGGCGAUGAAGGACGUGCUAAUCUGCGAUAAGCGCCGGUAAGGUGAUAUGAACCGUUAUAACCGGCGAUUUCCGAAUGGGGAAACCCAGUGUGAUUCGUCACACUAUCAUUAACUGAAUCCAUAGGUUAAUGAGGCGAACCGGGGGAACUGAAACAUCUAAGUACCCCGAGGAAAAGAAAUCAACCGAGAUUCCCCCAGUAGCGGCGAGCGAACGGGGAGGAGCCCAGAGCCUGAAUCAGCAUGUGUGUUAGUGGAAGCGUCUGGAAAGGCGCGCGAUACAGGGUGACAGCCCCGUACACAAAAGCGCACAUGCUGUGAGCUCGAUGAGUAGGGCGGGACACGUGGUAUCCUGUCUGAAUAUGGGGGGACCAUCCUCCAAGGCUAAAUACUCCUGACUGACCGAUAGUGAACCAGUACCGUGAGGGAAAGGCGAAAAGAACCCCGGCGAGGGGAGUGAAAAAGAACCUGAAACCGUGUACGUACAAGCAGUGGGAGCACCCUUUGGGGUGUGACUGCGUACCUUUUGUAUAAUGGGUCAGCGACUUAUAUUCUGUAGCAAGGUUAACCG
rnacentral:rRNA from 1 species